rnacentral:rRNA from 1 species
UCGCCUGUUUAUCAAAAACAUGUUUUCUUGAUUUAAUAUAAGAAAUUUAACCUGCCCACUGAAAAAGUUUUGAAGGGCCGCAGUAUUUUGACUGUGCAAAGGUAGCAUAAUCAUUAGUCUUUUAAUUGAGGACUUGUAUGAAUGGUUGGACGAGGUGAAGUCUGUUUUAUAAUAAUGUAUUGAAUUUUGAUUUUAAGUAAAAAGACUUAAAUAAAAUUAAGGGACGAGAAGACCCUAUAGAGUUUAAUAAUUAAUUUUUUAACUGAGUUUAAGUGUAAUUUUUGGUUAAGGAUAUAAAAUUAUUUAAUUGGGGUGAUUAAAAGAUAAGAAAAACUCUUUUUUAAUUUGAAUAUAAAUUAAUAAUAAUAUGAUCCAUUAUAAUGAUUAGAAGAUUAAAUUACCUUAGGGAUAACAGCAUAAUUUCUUUUAAGAGUUCUUAUCAAGAAAGAAGAUUAUGACCUCGAUGUUGGAUUAAGAUAAAUUUUGGGUGUAGGUGUUCAAAUAUUAGGUCUGUUCGACCUUUAAAAUCUUACAUGAUCUGAGUUCAAACCGGAGA